ACCAUGGCCAUAGUAAGCAUGACAGCCACGUUCAUAGCCACCACCAUGACCAACAUGAUCAUGCCCACCAACAUCAUCACCAUGACCAUGCCCACCAGCAUGAACAUCAUGACCAUGCCCACCAGCACGAACACCAUGACCAUGCCCACCUGCACGAACACCAUGACCAUGCCCACCAGCACGAACACCAUGACCAUGCCCACCAGCACGAACACCAUGACCACGCCCACACUCAUGGAAGCUUACCCCAUCAAGUGGCGGAAUCUCACAUUCAAGAAGCAGGUUUCCAUAGCCAUAAACAGCCAAUUGAUGGAGAAAAAUCAGCUAAGCAUCAACAUCGCCACAUUGACCACAACAUGGAAGGAAUAUUUUUGCACGU
rnacentral:lncRNA from 1 species